GCAAAGGGCGCAUGGGGGAUGCCUAGGCUCUUGGAGGCGAAGAAGGACGUGGCAAGCUGCGAAAAGCUGCGGGGAGCUGCAAGCGAGCUGAGAUCCGCAGAUGUCCGAAUGGGGGAACCCGGCCGGUUGAAGACCGGUCAUCCUGCCGCAAGGCAGGAGGCGAACCCGGGGAACUGAAACAUCUAAGUACCCGGAGGAGGAGAAAACAAUAGUGAUUCCGUGAGUAGUGGCGAGCGAAAGCGGAGGAGCCCAAACCACAGCGGUUUCGGCUGCUGUGGGGUUGUAGGGCUGCCAUAAGCCCGGUGUAAGCGAAGCUGAAUCGUAUGGGAAGACGAACCGUAGAGGGUGAGAGUCCCGUAAGCGUAAGCGAGCACCGGGUGGCAGAACCCUGAGUAGGGCGGGACCGGAGGAAUCCCGUCUGAAUCUGCCGGCACCAUCCGGUAAGGCUAAAUACUCCCAAGAGACCGAUAGUGAACCAGUACCGUGAGGGAAAGGUGAAAAGCACUCCGAGCAGGAGGGUGAAAAGAACCUGAAACCAUGCGCCUACAAGCGGUCGGAGCCUCAUAGUGAGGUGACGGCGUGCCUUUUGCAUAAUGAGCCUACGAGUUACGGUCACUGGCAAGGUUAAGCCACUAAGUGGCGUAGCCGAAGCGAAAGCGAGUCUGAACAGGGCGUUGAGUCAGUGGCUGUAGACGCGAAACCCGGUGAUCUAUCCAUGGCCAGGUUGAAGCGUGGGUAAGACCACGUGGAGGACCGAACCGGUUGGCGUUGAAAAGCCAUCGGAUGAGCUGUGGAUCGGAGUGAAAGGCUAAUCAAACCGGGAGAUAGCUCGUACUCUCCGAAAUGCUUUUAGGAGCAGCGUCGUAGUAGUUUCACGGGGGUAGAGCUACCGAUAGGACUAGGGGGAGUCACAUCCUACCAAAUCCUGACGAACUCCGAAUACCGUGAAAUGGUCUACGGCAGUGAGGGUCCGGGUGCUAAGGUCCGGGUCCGAGAGGGAAAGAACCCAGAGCAUCAGCUAAGGUCUCGAAGUGGUGGUUAAGUUGUUAAAAGGAGGUUGGACUGCAUAGACAGCCAGGAUGUUGGCUUGGAAGCAGCCAUUCAUUUAAAGAGUGCGUAACAGCUCACUGGUCGAGCGGUCCGGCGCCGAUAAUAAACGGGCAUAAACCACCCACCGAAGCUAUGCUACUCGAUAGAGUAGGUAGGAGAGCAUUCCGUUUGCGGCGAAGCAGUCCCGUGAGGGAUUGUGGAGCGGACGGAAAAGCAAAUGUAGGCAUAAGUAACGAUAAAGCGGGUGAGAAACCCGCUCGCCGAAAGACUAAGGUUUCCUGUGGCGAUGUUAAUCAGCUCAGGGUUAGUCGGGGGCUAAGGCGUAGCCGAGAGGCGAAGCUGAUGCGAAACCGGUUAAUAUUCCGGUACCGGCUGUGAGGAGCGAAGGGGGGACGGAGCACUGACAGUCCCGCGCACUGACGGAAUAGUGCGUUGAAGCCGUUAGGUAUAUCCUGUGCAGGCAAAUCCGCACGGGAUGCUGAGCGGCGACAGUACACCGCGGCGCAAGCCAAGGUGAUAGUGGACGUAAGGGCUUCCAAGAAAAGCCUCUAAGCGAUGAAUCACAGCCGCCCGUACCGCAAACCGACACAGGUAGUCGGGUGGAGCACACUCAGGCGCUCGAGUGAGUCGUGGCUAAGGAAUUAGGCAAAUUAACCCCGUAACUUCGGGAGAAGGGGUACCGUCUCCGCAAGGAGCGGUCGCAGUGAACAGGUCCAAGCGACUGUUUAACAAAAACACAGGACUCUGCGAAGCCGCAAGGCGCGGUAUAGGGUCUGACACCUGCCCGGUGCCGGAAGGUUAAGGGGAGGCGUGCAAGCGCUGAACCGAAGCCCCGGUAAACGGCGGCCGUAACUAUAACGGUCCUAAGGUAGCGAAAUUCCUUGUCGGGUAAGUUCCGACCUGCACGAAUGGUGUAACGACUUGGACACUGUCUCAGCCACGAGCUCGGUGAAAUUGUAGUCUCGGUGAAGAUGCCGAGUACCCGCGACGGGACGAAAAGACCCCGUGCACCUUUACUACAGCUUCGCAUUGCGUUUGGCUGUUGGAUGUGUAGGAUAGGCGGGAGACUGUGAAGCCUGGGCGCCAGCUCAGGUGGAGUCGCCCUUGAAAUACCGCCCUUCCAACAGUUAGGCGCUAACUCCGGAUGGAGGACAGUGCGUGGCGGGUAGUUUGACUGGGGUGGUCGCCUCCAAAAGAGUAUCGGAGGCUUCCAAAGGUCGGCUCAGUACGGUUGGUAAUCGUACGUAGAGUGCAAUGGCACAAGCCGGCUUGACUGUGAGACAAACAGGUCGAGCAGGUGCGAAAGCAGGGCAUAGUGAUCCGGUGGUUCCGCAUGGGUGGGCCAUCGCUCAAAGGAUAAAAGGUACGCCGGGGAUAACAGGCUGAUCUCCCCCAAGAGCUCACAUCGACGGGGAGGUUUGGCACCUCGAUGUCGGCUCGUCACAUCCUGGGGCUGGAGAAGGUCCCAAGGGUUGGGCUGUUCGCCCAUUAAAGUGGCACGCGAGCUGGGUUCAGAACGUCGUGAGACAGUUCGGUCUCUAUCUGUCGCGGGCGCAGGAGGUUUGAGGAGAGCUGACCUUAGUACGAGAGGACCGGGUCGGACGGACCUCUGGUGUAUCAGUUGUGCCGCCAGGUGCACUGCUGAGUAGCUAUGUCCGGAAGAGAUAAGCGCUGAAAGCAUCUAAGCGCGAAACUCGCUCCAAGAUGAGACCUCCCGUGAGGGGCGUUCGAGAUGAGGACGUAGAUAGGUGACAGGUGUAAGCGGUGAGAGCCGUUGAGCCGAGUCAUACUAAUACCCCGAGAGACUUCUU
rnacentral:rRNA from 1 species